AUUGAACGCUGGCGGCAGGCCUAACACAUGCAAGUCGAGCGAGCGGCGGACGGGUGAGUAAUGUCUGGGAAACUGCCUGGUGGAGGGGGAUCACUACUGGAAACGGUAGCUAAUACCGCAUACCAUCGGAUGUGCCCAGAUGGGAUUAGCUUGUAUGUGAGGUAACGGCUAACCUAGGCGACGCUCCCUAGCUGGUCUGAGAGGAGGACCAGCAACACGGGAACGGAGACACGGUCCAGACUCCUACGGGAGGCAGCAGUGGGGAAUAUUGCACAAUGGGCGCAAGCCUGAUGCAGCCAUGCCGAGUGUAUGAAGAAGGCCUUCGGGUUGUAAAGUACUUUCAGCGGGGAGGCGUUACCCGCAGAAGAAGCACCGGCUAACUCCGUGCCAGCAGCCGCGGUAAUUC
rnacentral:rRNA from 1 species